UAAAAACUAAAUAUAACGAUAAAACUUAAAUGAAAAUAUCAUUUUAUUAUAUUUUUUUUUUUCGGCAAUAAUCUGGUUUUUAAAGUUUUUGUUCUUGAUAAACCCACUAAAGUAACUAAGUUAACUGUAGCAAAUUAUUGCUUAUGUCAGCAACUUGUUAACGUUCGCAUUUUCUCAAUCUCUGAAAGCCCAAAAAAAAAAAGAA